GCCCCGGUUGCGGCGGGAGGAGGCGGUGCCUGCGGGAGCGAAGGGGGCGGGUCAGGGGCUGCGGGCUUUCUCCCGCUGCAUUAUCCCUGGCCCACCGCCUCCCUCUGCAGGUGCGGCGGCUGGUUCGUAUCGCCUACCCACCCGCCCCCGCUCCCGUUUUUGUGUCUCUCGAUGUCUUUCUAUCCCCUUUCUUUGAGUAUUUAUUUGUCCCCUCGUCUCUGCCCUCGCCCCGCUGAGACUCUGGACCCUCUUUUCUAAGUCUCUACCCUCCCUCCGGGUCUCUGUCUCAUUGUUCUCUGAAUCUGUUCCCCUCCUUCUGAGUCUUUACUCCCUUCUCCCUAAGGUUCAGUCUCCUCUCCCCCAACUGUGUCUCCGUCCCCCCACCCCCAGUCCCUUUCUCCUGGUCUCUGUAGCUUAUUCUUGGGGAUUUGCCUCUCUCUCUCCCUGGGCCUCUGCCCCCUCCCGGUCUCUGUCUCUUCUCUUUGUGUCUCUGUCCUCCACUCCCCUCUCCCAGCCUGUACCCCCCACCCCCCGUCUCUAUCCAUUCAUCUGCAUCUCUGUCCCCCUUGCUCUUGUUCUCUGACGACCUCUCUGUCAGUAUCUUUUUCCUCUCCUCCGUCUCUCUCCCUCCUCUGUAAGUGCCUUUUCUCUUUCUCUCCUUUUUCUGUCACCCUAUGCGGGUCUCUAUCCCCACUCCCCGUGCCUCUUUUAUCCCCUUAUGAGGCUCUGUCUCCACUUCUUUGGGACUUUGUCCCGCUGUCCUUUGGUCUCUGUCCCUCCAUCACCCCCUCUAACCCCCAUCCUGGCCAGAACCCGAGGCUGCGUCACUGCGGAGAGAGUUGCAGAAGCGGAGCCUGUCCUGCAGACCAAGGAGGUAUUUCCUUCACACCCCCCCGCCCCAGACCUUGGGCGGUACUCAAGCCCCCGAUGGGACCCAGGAAGGCAGAGAAAAGACAUCCAAACUUCCUACUCUUCUCUACCCUGAAUUCUGGUGUAUCCCCAGGCAGAAGCAGUGAAUCCUGAGCAGCCAGGCACGGGAUCCAGUUACCAAAUCAGCGUUUUUGCAGAGGCGCCCCUCCCCUGCCUGCCACCGCUCCUGCCCUGUCUCCACUUCUCCAUGUGGAUGUUCCCCAAGGCUGCUCCUGAGACCUCUUCUCUCUCCCAGAGACGGCUGCCCUCCAAGGCUCUGAGUACCAUCUGAUGGUCUCAUGGGUCAGAGGUGGCAGACUUCCUGAUUUGGCUGAGAAGGGCAGGGAUUCCUGGAGGUGUGGAAGGAGAGGACCCCUCCAGAGUAAUCUCCGCGCCCAACGUGGGGCUCAAACUUACAACCCAGAGAUCAAGAGUCACGUGCUCUUCUGACUGAGCCAGCCAGGCGCCCCCAGGACAUGGGUAAUUCUCAGAGACCUAACGAUAAGUGAAAGAACGAACAGUGCCUAGUAUGGACUGAAUGUGUCCUCCUUCCAAUUCAAUGUUGAAAACGAACCCCCAGUGUAAAAGUAUUUAGAGGUGGGGGUUUGGGGAGGUGAUUCAUUCAAUCAGGAAGGUGGAGCCCUCCAGAAUGGGAUUCAUACCCUUUUAAAAUUGACCAUAGAGAGCUCCUCCGCCCCUCCAACCCUUGUGUGGACACAGUGAAAAGGCUAUUAACCAGGAAGCAGACCCGAUCAGUCAGUGCCUUGAUCCGUGGGCUUCCCAGCCUCCAGAACCAUGAGAAAUAAAUAUCUAUGAUUAUUAGCUAC